rnacentral:lncRNA from 12 species
AUGGAGGGGCUUUACGUCGGGCCACCCGCCGCCUCCGUGUGUCACUCGAAGCCCCGUCACCAUCUCCACCUGACACCUGCGGAAAGGGCGGCGCAGAGAGGCCGAGGGCCGGAGCCAAGGCCACACAGCCGCGUGCUUGACGCCCCCGACUGCCUGCGUGCGAGUGACGAGGCUCCCUGGGCGCAUGAGGGUGCCUGGGGACUUGCGGAGAACUCGGGGGGCUCUUCACCCUUCCCUGCGCGGGUGCAGGCCGUCAGCGCGAGGAAGAACGGGGAGCCGGGGCCUCGGUUCCGUUUCAUGACAUUUGCUGGCCAGUGGGGACCUGGAGGUCGUUCCACGGAGCCAGAGGCUGAGCGUGGGACCCGAGCCCUGGAGAGACCCCUCGGAGCUCGGCGUGGCGGCGCUGGCGGCAGGGACGCGGGUCGGGUCCACGUGGGGGCCCGAGGCGGGACAUGGGCAGCGGAGGCGGGCCUGGAAAGAUGGGGAUCACUCGUGGGUGACAUGGGGGGGUGAAGGAGUCCACCCCGGGAGAGAAGCAGCUCCCUCGGGAGGCGGAGGGGAGCACGCAGGACCGCCAGCCACUGGUGGCCACAGGCCAGCCACGUCCUCUGCCCAUUCCUGGCUUAACCCGGGCAGCCGUGCCUCCGUCCCCGUGGCUGCAGGUGGGCGACACACGAAGCGCGAAGUGUUUGGGAAAGAACAAAUAACCCGCUUUGGUGGAUUGAGGGCGCUUGUGCCCAGUGGCUGGCGACUGGCCUGGAAAGUGAACUUUCUCAAGUGGGCGCUGGGGAGCCGUUGCACGGCUGCCUGUAGGCAGGGCAGUGACGGGAUUAGAUUUUUGCCUUAAGAGAGGUUUUCGAUAUUUUUCAACCCCACCUGGCCUUUUGCGAUGAAUAUAAAAACCUCAUCUCCGGGGUGGGGGGUUCCUGGGUGGCUCAGCGGUUUGGCACCUGCCUUUGGCCCAGGGCACGAUCCUGGAGUCCCGGGAUCGAGUCCCGCGUCGGGCUCCCUGCGUGGAGCCUGCUCCUGCCUGUGUCUCUGCCUCUCUCUCUCUCUCUCUGUCUAUCAUAAAUAAAUAAAUAAUUCUUAAAAAAAAUCUCCA